rnacentral:rRNA from 1 species
GUGGGAUGACGUCAAGUCCUCAUGGCCUUUAUGCUUAGGGCUACACACGUGCUACAAUGGGUGGUACAAAGAGAAGCCAACUCGCGAGAGCGCGCCAAUCUCAAAAAGCCAUCCUCAGUUCGGAUUGGAGUCUGCAACUCGACUCCAUGAAGUUGGAAUCGCUAGUAAUCGCGGAUCAGCAUGCCGCGGUGAAUACGUUCCCGGGCCUU